GAUGAACGCUGGCGGCGUGCCUAAUACAUGCAAGUCGAGCGAAUGACGAGGAGCUUGCUCCUCUGAUUUAGCGGCGGACGGGUGAGUAACACGUGGGUAACCUGCCUGUAAGACGGGGAUAACUCCGGGAAACCGGAGCUAAUACCGGAUGAUAACGAGAAGCGCCUGCUUCUUUUUUGAAAGUCGGUUUCGGCUGACGCUUACAGAUGGGCCCGCGGCGCAUUAGCUAGUUGGUGAGGUAACGGCUCACCAAGGCGACGAUGCGUAGCCGACCUGAGAGGGUGAUCGGCCACACUGGGACUGAGACACGGCCCAGACGCCUACGGGAGUCAGCAGUAGGGAAUCUUCGGCAAUGGACGAAAGUCUGACCGAGCAACGCCGCGUGAGCGAUGAAGGCCUUCGGGUCGUAAAGCUCUGUUGUCAGAGAAGAACAAGUACCGGAGUAACUGCCGGUACCUUGACGGUACCUGACCAGAAAGCCACGGCUAACUACGUGCCAGCCGCCGCAGUAACAC
rnacentral:rRNA from 1 species